AUACGGAGGGUGCAAGCGUUGUUCGGAAUUAUUGGGCGUAAAGGGCGCGUAGGCGGUUAUGAAAGUCAGAUGUGAAAUACUUCGGCUCAACUGAAGAACUGCAUCUGAAACUUCAUAACUCGAGUACUGAAGAGGGAAAUGGAAUUCCUGGUGUAGAGGUGAAAUUCGUAGAUAUCAGGAGGAACACCAGUGGCGAAGGCGAUUUCCUGGUCAGAUACUGACGCUGAGGCGCGAAAGUGUGGGGAGC
rnacentral:rRNA from 1 species